UACGAGGGGGGCAAGCGUUGCUCGGAAUCACUGGGCGUAAAGGGUGCGUAGGCGGGUUUUUAAGUCAGGGGUGAAAUCCUGGAGCUCAACUCCAGAACUGCCUUUGAUACUGAAGAUCUUGAGUCCGGGAGAGGUGAGUGGAACUGCGAGUGUAGAGGUGAAAUUCGUAGAUAUUCGCAAGAACACCAGUGGCGAAGGCGGCUCACUGGCCCGGUACUGACGCUGAGGCACGAAAGCGUGGGGAGCAAACAGG
rnacentral:rRNA from 1 species